UACGGCCCCAGGGCUCACUCGCCAAUAGAUUAUCUCAACUUGCACCGAUUGUCAUCGGUUCCUUUAUAAUCGGAUAGGAAUUGACCGUGUUUCAAAGGCCAGUGUUAAGUGUUUAUUGCUUUUGCUGUAAUAUGAGUAGAGCGGGAGAGUCACUUAAUAAUCCGCCAAGUGUUUUAUUACCGUUUAAACAACAGCUCCCCACUUGUUAUUCUUAGUAACUAGAGACAGGUAAGAUCGUCUGUCAUGGUCGGUUAAAGUUUAUUACUUUUACAACAGGGUGUAUGCGAGCCGCCACCCACUCCCCACCUUUAACGACAAGACGGCUAAGUGUUUUAUUACUCUGUAAACAUAAACUCCCUUUUUAAAUUUAAUUUUAUUACUUUGUAAUUAAAUUUACAUUAUAUUCGAUUCGCCCUUUUAUAUUUAGUAAAUAUUCAUAUAUCACAUGAUAUGUCAUUCGUUUAAUUUUAUACUACUUACGUAAAAUCUAUUUUUAUAUCAUUCAAUUUCCUUUUAUAUGUUUUUAAAUGAUGUUGUAGAAAGACUGUUUCAAAAGCAAUUUUCUCUCAUAUAGUCAUUAAAUAAGCAAAAUUAUGAAUGUAUUUAUUGUCUGCAGCGUUUUCAAAACAAGGCACGAUUUCGAAAGAGAAUAAUUAUUACAGUUAUCCUUCAUUAAAAAUACAAUUUUUUAUGGUAUUUAUCGCCUUCCAUUAAAUAAUGAGCUAGAAAGAGACAAAAAACUCAGAGAGAAAUCAGUCCAGCUGUAUCGUAAGACCAGUAACAAUUUCCAGUAGACAUUUGUAUCCUCGCAUUUUACAACAUUCGAUUUUUUCUCUAACCGAGGACAAAGUCUGAAUAACAGAUAAAAUUUCUAUAAUAAGCUACGAUGAAGGACAUUGUAUAUUUGCGUGUUCGACUAGCUGCUGUGUAUCGAUAGUUAAUCAUUUAUUGAACAUAUAAGUAAGAAAGAAAACCGAUUGCAUCGAUAUACGAAGUGUCUUUCGACAAUUUGGUUGACUUCACUAAUUCACAAGAUCGAGUGUGGAAAACAGCUGUUUGGAAGAACAUUUGAGUAAUAUUUUUCAAGGUUUCUUAAGAAUUUUUGAAACGGAAAAGCAAAAAAUGUCGUUUUUUCUAUCUGACAUUGCCAGCCUCACGGUACAGCUGGCUGCGUGGAUCUUCUCGUUCUUCGAAUGUUUCUUUCACAAUUUCGUUAUAUUUUUUCUGGAUUUAGCAGGAAAACCAUGUCAACUGAUUCUUUUAUUGCUCUUAUUAAUAAUUAUUUACUAUUCUUUAGUUAACUACGAUAAAACUGUGGAUAUGACAGAGACAGGCUACGAUUAUUUACGUCCUAGAGCAAAAAAACUAGGUCAGAACUUAUCUUUGUUGGUACGAGAAGUUAACGAAUCAAGAGAUCCCGGUGAACUCCCACCUGUAUAUCCGAAUGGAAUUUAAC